GCGGAUGUGGUCUAGUGGUUAUGACGCUCGCUUCACACGCGAGAGGUCGGGGGUUCGAUCCCCCCUUUCCGUA
rfam:Oxytricha trifallax strain JRB310 Contig19438.0 macronuclear, whole genome shotgun sequence.